rnacentral:rRNA from 1 species
UACGUAGGCAGCAAGCGUUGUUCGGAGUUACUGGGCGUAAAGGGUGCGUAGGCGGCUUUUUAAGUUUGGUGUGAAAUCUCCCGGCUCAACCGGGAGGGUGCGCCGAAUACUGAGAGGCUAGAGUGUGGGAGAGGAAAGUGGAAUUCCUGGUGUAGCGGUGAAAUGCGUAGAUAUCGGGAGGAACACCAGUGGCGAAGGCGAUCAUCUGGGGUUGUUCUGACACUGAGGAGCGAAAGCUAGGGGAGCAAACGGG